rnacentral:rRNA from 1 species
CCCGCCAAAGACGGUAACAGCCCGGUAGUUGAAAUAGCUUUCCCUCCAGAGUGGAUCCUGAGUACGGCGGAACACGUGAAAUUCCGUCGGAAUCCGGGAGGACCAUCUCCCAAGGCUAAAUACUCCCUAGUGACCGAUAGUGAACCAGUACCGUGAGGGAAAGGUGAAAAGCACCCCGGAAGGGGAGUGAAACAGUUCCUGAAACCGUGUGCCUACAAGUAGUUAGAGCCCGUUAAUGGGUGAUAGCGUGCCUUUUGUAGAAUGAACCGGCGAGUUACGAUUUGUUGCAAGGUUAAGCGGAAAAAGCGGAGCCGUAGCGAAAGCGAGUCUGAAUAGGGCGAAUAAGUAACAGGUCGUAGACCCGAAACCAGGUGAUCUACCCAUGUCCAGGAUGAAGGUAAGGUAAUACUUACUGGAGGUCCGAACCCACGCACGUUGAAAAGUGCGGGGAUGAGGUGUGGGUAGCGGAGAAAUUCCAAUCGAACUUGGAGAUAGCUGGUUCUCUCCGAAAUAGCUUUAGGGCUAGCCUCGAGGUAAAGAGUCAUGGAGGUAGAGCACUGUUUGGACUAGGGGCCCUUCUCGGGUUACCGAAUUCAGAUAAACUCCGAAUGCCAUGUACUUAUACUCGGGAGUCAGACUGCGAGUGAUAAGAUCCGUAGUCGAAAGGGAAACAGCCCAGACCACCAGUUAAGGUCCCCAAAUAUAUGUUAAGUGGAAAAGGAUGUGGGGUUGCUUAGACAACCAGGAUGUUGGCUUAGAAGCAGCCACCAUUGAAAGAGUGCGUAAUAGCUCACUGGUCGAGUGACCCCGCGCCGAAAAUGUACCGGGGCUAAACAUAUUACCGAAACUGUGGAUGAACCUCUUUAGAGGUUCGUGGUAGGAGAGCGUUCUAAGGGCGGUGAAGUCAGACCGGAAGGACUGGUGGAGCGCUUAGAAGUGAGA